AGCGUAGGUGGCGAUUUAAGUGAAAUGUGAAAGACCGGGGCUCAACUCCGGAACUGCAUUUCAUACUGGAUUGCUUGAGUGCAGGAGGGGUAAGCGGAAUUCCUAGUGUAGCGGUAAAAUGCGUAGAUAUUAGGAGGAACACCAGUGGCGAAAGCGGCUUACUGGACUGUAACUGACACUGAGGCUCGAAAGCGUGGGGAGCAAACA
rnacentral:rRNA from 1 species